rnacentral:rRNA from 1 species
AGAACGAACGCUGGCGGCAGGCUUAACACAUGCAAGUCGAACGGUUGUAGCAAUACAGCAGUGGCAGACGGGUGAGUAACACGUGGGAACCUUCCUAGGGGUACGGAACAACUCAGGGAAACUUGAGCUAAUACCGUAUACGUCCGUGAGGAGAAAGUUUUAACGCCCCUAGACGGGCCCGCGUAGGAUUAGGUAGUUGGUGAGGUAACGGCUCACCAAGCCUACGAUCCUUAGCUGAUCUGAGGGGAUGAUCAGCCACACUGGGACUGAGACACGGCCCAGACUCCUACGGGAGGCAGCAGUGGGGAAUCUUGGACAAUGGGCGCAAGCCUGAUCCAGCCAUGCCGCGUGAGUGAAGAAGGCCUUCGGGUUGUAAGCUCUUUUACCAGGACGAUAAUGACGGUACCUGGAGAAGUAAGCCCCGGCAAACUUCGUGCCAGCAGCCGC